rnacentral:rRNA from 1 species
CAGUCGCCACGGUAAUACGAAGGGGGCUAGCGUUGUUCGGAAUUACUGGGCGUAAAGCGCACGUAGGCGGAUAUUUAAGUCAGGGGUGAAAUCCCAGAGCUCAACUCUGGAACUGCCUUUGAUACUGGGUAUCUUGAGUAUGGAAGAGGUGAGUGGAAUUCCGAGUGUAGAGGUGAAAUUCGUAGAUAUUCGGAAGAACACCAGUGGCGAAGGCGGCUUACUGGCUCAUACUGGACGCUGAGGUGCGAAAGCGUGGGAAGCAAACAGGAUUAGAUACCCCGGUAGUCCCUGUCUCUUAUAC